ensembl:miRNA gga-mir-7457 gga-mir-7457
GGCAUUCAUAGGGCUGUGAUCGGUGGCAGAAUCUACUUGGAGGCCUGUGGCUAG